CUAACAGGUGAAGCUGAGCACUCUAGACGAACUGCCGUUGACAAAACGGAGGAAGGUGGGAUGACGUCAAAUCAUCAUGCCCCUUAUGUUCUGGGCUACACACGUGCUACAAUGGCCGGUACAGACGGAGGCGAAGCCGCGAGGCGGAGCAAAUCCGAAAAAGCCGGUCUCAGUUCGGAUUGCAGGCUGCAAUUCGCCUGCAUGAAGUCGGAAUCGCUAGUAAUCGCAGGUCAGCAUACUGCGGUCGAAUACGUUCCCGGGCCUU
rnacentral:rRNA from 1 species